ACGGGAGGCAGCAGUGGGGAAUAUUGCACAAUGGGGGAAACCCUGAUGCAGCGACGCCGCGUGAGUGAAGAAGUAUUUCGGUAUGUAAAGCUCUAUCAGCAGGAAAGAAAAUGACGGUACCUGACUAAGAAGCCCCGGCUAACUACGUGCCAGCAGCCGCGGUAAUACGUAGGGGGCAAGCGUUAUCCGGAUUUACUGGGUGUAAAGGGAGCGUAGACGGUAAGGCAAGUCUGAAGUGAAAUGCCAGGGCUCAACCCUGGAACUGCUUUGGAAACUGUCCUACUAGAGUGCAGGAGAGGUAAGUGGAAUUCCUAGUGUAGCGGUGAAAUGCGUGGAUAUUAGGAGGAACACCAGUGGCGAAGGCGGCUUACUGGACUGUAACUGACGUUGAGGCUCGAAAGCGUGGGGAGCAAACAGGAUUAGAUACCCUGGUA
rnacentral:rRNA from 1 species